rnacentral:rRNA from 1 species
UACGUAGGGUGCGAGCGUUGUCCGGAAGUAUUGGGCGUAAAGAGCUCGUAGGCGGUCUGUCGCGUCGAUCGUGAAAACUUGGGGCUUAACCCUGAGCUUGCGGUCGAUACGGGCAUGACUGGAGUUCGGCAGGGGAGACUGGAAUUCCUGGUGUAGCGGAGAAAUGCGCAGAUAUCAGGAGGAACACCGGUGGCGAAGGCGGGUCUCUGGGCCGUAACUGACGCUGAGGAGCGAAAGCAUGGGGAGCGAACAGG